rnacentral:lncRNA from 1 species
AGCUAUGUGGCUAACGCUCCCCUGCCGCCAGGGAUAAAAAAAACCUCAAUUACCUAAGAGACCGGUUCAAAAGUUUGCUCGGUUGUUCUGGCAUAACAGACUUGCCGCUCGGUGCCUGUUUGCCUGACAGGAGAAAAAUUGAUCUGCUGACGUGACGUCAGCACGGUGGCUUGUGCCGUGACACUUGGGCAGGCGCUCUGGGAACUGCAGUCCUCGUGGGCUCCCACCAGGGUCUGAAAUCCACCAAGUGUUUGAGGAAACCAUGAAAAUAAUGCCUGCCGUUUCAUUUACGCAGGGGCAUAGACCGGAAACCUCUUCUGGCCUUGGACAGCGCUGUGGUAGAGUUUGCUUUGUGCCAGUCUGUAGCUCAUCACCGGGUCCUGGAUGAAAGGUUUAUGACACCCCAACAUCAUCCCCAUUCUGCUUCAUUAUGUAACGAUUAACUUCUAAGGACUCCGUUUACUUUGUGACCUUUGGCGUCUGAUACUUCUCGUAUGCCAAACAUUUGAGGGCACAUGAGGAAUACUUUUAACCAAUAUUAUGGUUUUGUUAAUGUAUUGCAAACUAUUUCUACAAGAGCAGCAUCAAAGUUUUAUCUGCUAAAUAAAUAUUACAGGGCUAAGCUAGUACACAGAGUAGAUCUGGAGGAAUUUCCGCGCUGGAGCAGACCCAAAGUCCAUCUAGAGAACAGCUCUGUACAAUUGGCAUACGGUGAUGAGUGAAACUGGAGCUUCAGCAAGUUUGUCCGAGACGGAGAACCAGUCUCAAUGUCUUCCUGAAAAGGACUGCUUUUGCUCAGCUCCCUUUGCUGCAGCGCCACCUCCCUUGUUCUGAUCCGAUAAAAGUCUUCUGUCUGUACCAUAAAAACCUGGAAUCCUGCGGAAAUGCUGAACGCAAAGCACUUAAAACUGCGCACGUGUACCCAAGUCGGAGGAGUAGAACAUGGUUACUAACAGCCAGCCACGCUACAGUCAUUGAAAGGGGAAUGCAGAUCCUGGCAGGUUCAGUGGGCAUCCAGAGCAGCCGACAGCACUGCCGGGAUGAGCGGGCGGCAGGAGCAGCGAGGAAGAUGUUGCAUGCUCAGCAGGGCGAUGAAGUUGUUUUGCAACACAGGCGUGUUCCAGGUGACUGCUGGGUCACUUUGGUCGGUGGGGUUGGAAGAGAGCCGUUGUCUGCUUCCUCGAUGAUCUACCAGCUCUUAUGUUUGGAAAGAGCUUGGACCUGGAGCGCCGGGUGCAAUGUCAGAACCUGUACAGAGCAGAGGGUGCUGGAGGAGAAUUUGUUUCAGCAGUGGAGUUUCAGGAGGUGAGUAUAAACUUUCCCUCUGGGGGUUAUGGUCACCCAUUUGUUUCCCAGUCCUCCACUCUGCUUUCAAAACCAUGCUGCAAGUGCUAGGACAAAACUUUCAACCCAGCUGUCUCUGAGCUACCAAAAUAUCUUCUUUGCCCCUUGACCAGCUGUCAAGACUUUCCUGGAGUUCCUAGAACAAGCAUCCUAGGUAAUGUUUCCCUUGGCCUAUGAGCAAUGGUAGGGAUGCUCUGGAGAUGAAUAGUAGGAUUGCUCAUUUGCUGUCAGGCAUCUAUCCUAAGCAAGUGCCUCAAUAGCCGGUUCAUCCAGGCUGCCUCCCCUGCCUUUGUAAUACUCCAGUCUUGUUGUGCUCUUUAGGGUGAGAUUGUGGUUCAAGAAGAAAGUGUCUCAGAGCAAAAAUUGUGCAGCUCCAGAGCCUUGAUUAUUCAACUAGUUUGAAACACUUUAAAGGAUCCCUAAAAAUAGGUAAAAGGGAUGUUUGUCAGCUGCAAAGGGAUUAUCAUGCAGUAGUGUUGCUUGUCUUAUUUUAUGAUGAUGCUACAGAAUACAGUCCCUCAGGUAGCCUCAUUAAUGUUUAUGAAUGAACCCCUUGUUUUAUGCUUUUGGUUUUAGAACACAGAAAUAGGGCGAGAGGCUAGUACGAGUAGUCUUAACCACGUGUGCUUUGGAAAGCUCAAGGACAGGGAUGUAAGGUCUCCAUAAACCUCAGUGGUUCUGUGUAUGGAUGACAAAUGGAUUUAGGCUUGUCCUAGACCAGCAGAGUAGAUGUAGCCUAAGGGAGAAAUUGAAGCAGAACUUUGGCUAAAAUCCUCAGUGAAAUUCUGCACGUUGCACUAAAUUUCCCCGUGAACCUGUCAAUAGGAAGUUGUCACUCCUGUACGUCUCACCAGUCACUUUGUUUGGAUCUCUUCUGGUUGCAAAGGCAACCUGUGACCGUAUAUUGCCAUAAUCAUAAGCACAUCCACAGAGCAAUAUCCAGUAGACCCUGUUGCCUGUCAGCA